CACCAACCAGCGCCAGGGAAUUACGAGCUAUGCUUAAAACCCAAAGGACUUGACGGUUUCCCACCCCCCUAGAGGAGCCUGUUCUAUAAUCGAUGAUCCCCGCUAUACCUAACCACCCCUCGCCAUCAGUCUGUAUACCUCCGUCGAAAGCUUACCAUAUGAGUGCUUCAGUAAGCCCAAUGAUCCCCAUCAACACGUCAGGUCAAGGUGCAGCUUAAGGAGUGGGAAGUGAUGGGCUACAAUUUCUAAGCUAGAACAAACGAAAGACUAGGUGAAACCCUAGUCAUGAAGGCGGAUUUAGCAGUAAAAAGAAAAUAGAGUGUUCUUUUUAACAUGGCUCUGGGACGCGUACACACCGCCCGUC
rnacentral:rRNA from 1 species